rnacentral:rRNA from 1 species
ACAACAUAGCAUUAAUGCAUUGGAUCCCAUUAGAAAUUUGCAGUUAAGUGUGUUCAAGCUAGAGUAGUACUGGGAUGGGUGACCACCCAGGACGUCCUAGUUUUUU